AUCUACAAAACGCAGUCCGCACAGUUCAAAUCAUGCCUAUUUGACACGACUAUUUUUAGUUCCCAGAAACGAAUAUAGAUUUGGGAAAACGUAAGAGACAAUGUUGAAAGUUUAAUGAGAGCACUUGGGUGAUAUGAUGUGCCACGUUCGAAAUAGGAUUCAUCAAUAAUCACCCAAUUAGGUCCAAAUGUGUCAUUUCUCAUAAAGAAGGAUUUUGGUCAUGCUGCAGUGUCACAACCGGACCGAAAAAUCCUACAAUUUGCCUGACAUCAAAUAUUACUUUGGAGUACGGAGGCAACCGACAGCCUAAACCGUUUUCCUGUCGAUCUAAAUAUGUAAGCAGACUGUCUGUCACUCGGUAGAGCAAAGACCUUGUCGGCACGGACAAAAACGCCAAACACCGGUUGAUGAACAGACAGGUGGUGCCAUUACGAUUCUGGAGCGGAUGCUUCUCCUUGCUUCAGUGAGUCAACCGUGAAAAUAAAUUGCGCCUUUAUCGAGCUACUCAUCCAUUUAAUGGCUUCUUACUUACUUCCCCUUAACAUGCAUGCGGAGCGAUGCAAUCCCUUCAACUGCUGCUAAGCAGAACAGCUAAGUGACUUUGUCAAAAAGUGUCAA